UCGCGGGAGGUCUCGUGCCUACGCCUUCCCCGGCCCGCAUACACUUAUACCUCCAGCUGACGUCGACCCCGGGGCCCGUUCGGAACCUAGGGCUUUGCUCCGAUCAGAGGAACUGCCCCUGCGCAGCUUCGACCCUACAAAGACCUAGCGGAGGGAGGUGGGGGCGGGAGAUGGGUCAGGGUUACCAUGGAAACCGACCCAGCACGCUGCCGGCGUGUGAUUUGGUUCUGGCUCCUGGGGAAGGAUGUACCGGAGCAAGAGUUAACCAUCCUCAUUUCCUUCAUUCCUCAUAUGGCAUGAUUUGAAGACUCUUCACCAUUCUGUCCCUUGCACACAUAGAUACUUAAUGACUACUUGUUGAAUGGGUUUGGAAGCCACAGAAGAGAGUCUCCAGAAGGCUGCAGAGGGCAGAGGAAGCUGAUGAAGUUCCUGGUAGAUGGUCUCCUCCUCCUCCAUGAAGCCUCAGACACAGACUCCUCAAUGUCCCUCAAUGUCCCUCUGGAUUGUUCUCUUCUACAGUUCGUCUGAGAUACUCAAGGGAGCUCUAGAUCCCACUCUUAUUUUCUUGACCAAGACAUUUUUGGAUUCACUAUGUAAUGUCUCUCAUUACCUGCUGCCUCUCUAGCCUUUAUUUCCAUUUAUAAAUGUGUAAGCAUCUCUGCCUGGAGCCUAUUUUCUUUUUUUAGCCUUGACACAUGCUAAAGUCUCAUGAAAUCCCUUCCUUUACCCAAUCCUGACAAGCAUUACUCUACUUUCAACGUUGCACAAAGGUUGCUGUAGUUUCAGAGUAACUCCCACAGGCUUCUGGUAUGUGACCAUACUUAAGACAUACAGUGAUAUUAAAACAUGAAUGGGACCACAAAAUUUAAAGGUAACUCUAGUUCCCUCUCUAGGAGUCUUCUCCAAGAUGUAGUGUUACCCCAUUGAAGGAAAAGAGAUAUUUUCUAAAAACAGGGAAGAUUUUUAAUCUCAGGGCAAAG